rnacentral:rRNA from 1 species
ACAAUGAAGAGUUUGAUCCUGGCUCAGGAUGAACGCUAGCUACAGGCUUAACACAUGCAAGUCGAGGGGCAGCAUGGUCUUAGCUUGCUAAGGCCGAUGGCGACCGGCGCACGGGUGAGUAACACGUAUCCAACCUGCCGUCUACUCUUGGACAGCCUUCUGAAAGGAAGAUUAAUACAAGAUGGCAUCAUGAGUCCGCAUGUUCACAUGAUUAAAGGUAUUCCGGUAGACGAUGGGGAUGCGUUCCAUUAGAUAGUAGGCGGGGUAACGGCCCACCUAGUCUUCGAUGGAUAGGGGUUCUGAGAGGAAGGUCCCCCACAUUGGAACUGAGACACGGUCCAAACUCCUACGGGAGGCAGCAGUGAGGAAUAUUGGUCAAUGGGCGAGAGCCUGAACCAGCCAAGUAGCGUGAAGGAUGACUGCCCUAUGGGUUGUAAACUUCUUUUAUAAAGGAAUAAAGUCGGGUAUGCAUACCCGUUUGCAUGUACUUUAUGAAUAAGGAUCGGCUAACUCCGUGCCAGCAGCCGCGGUAAUACGGAGGAUCCGAGCGUUAUCCGGAUUUAUUGGGUUUAAAGGGAGCGUAGAUGGAUGUUUAAGUCAGUUGUGAAAGUUUGCGGCUCAACCGUAAAAUUGCAGUUGAUACUGGAUAUCUUGAGUGCAGUUGAGGCAGGCGGAAUUCGUGGUGUAGCGGUGAAAUGCUUAGAUAUCACGAAGAACUCCGAUUGCGAAGGCAGCCUGCUAAGCUGCAACUGACAUUGAGGCUCGAAAGUGUGGGUAUCAAACAGGAUUAGAUACCCUGGUAGUCCACACGGUAAACGAUGAAUACUCGCUGUUUGCGAUAUACAGCAAGCGGCCAAGCGAAAGCGUUAAGUAUUCCACCUGGGGAGUACGCCGGCAACGGUGAAACUCAAAGGAAUUGACGGGGGCCCGCACAAGCGGAGGAACAUGUGGUUUAAUUCGAUGAUACGCGAGGAACCUUACCCGGGCUUAAAUUGCAGAUGAAUUACGGUGAAAGCCGUAAGCCGCAAGGCAUCUGUGAAGGUGCUGCAUGGUUGUCGUCAGCUCGUGCCGUGAGGUGUCGGCUUAAGUGCCAUAACGAGCGCAACCCUUGUUGUCAGUUACUAACAGGUUCCGCUGAGGACUCUGACAAGACUGCCAUCGUAAGAUGUGAGGAAGGUGGGGAUGACGUCAAAUCAGCACGGCCCUUACGUCCGGGGCUACACACGUGUUACAAUGGGGGGUACAGAGGGCCGCUACCACGCGAGUGGAUGCCAAUCCCAAAAACCUCUCUCAGUUCGGACUGGAGUCUGCAACCCGACUCCACGAAGCUGGAUUCGCUAGUAAUCGCGCAUCAGCCACGGCGCGGUGAAUACGUUCCCGGGCCUUGUACACACCGCCCGUCAAGCCAUGGGAGCCGGGGGUACCUGAAGUGCGUAACCGCGAGGAGCGCCCUAGGGUAAAACUGGUGACUGGGGCUAAGUCGUAACAAGGUAGCCGUACCGGAAGGUGCGGCUGGAACACCUCCUUU